AACAAAUACAGGUGAUGCAACUAGCUUAAGGUCAGCCUUUCUGAGGUUGAAGUUAACUGUCACACUGUAGAUGAAGAUGUGCAGUGCAAACAUGGUGUUGUGAUUUAUUUCACAGGGGUCUGUCUCAGUGACAGACCCCUCCCCCACCCAACGUCAAAAACCUUUGCCUUGUCUUCAGAAUUUGCUCAACAGGAAAGAAUGAGCUCCAUUGCGCGGACUGGUACAUUGAAGCCUGAGAUGGAAAGCUACUUGCUCAAAGUCCCACAGCAAAUCCGAUGCAAAGCUGGGUAAAAAUAAGUCUCCUUACAUGCGUGUGUGCAUUCCUUCAUUCACGAGUAAGUGUUGACUGGAGACCUACUAUGCGCUGGGCUCUGCUCCAGGUAGUCUCCUCAGUGCCCUGCCUUAGUAGGGCACCCCAGAUAAGCCUGGAUUCCGGAAACUCCGGAGAAAGGAUGUUGUACACCAAUUCUGAGACCUGCUGUGUGCCCCUAGCUAUGUUCAGGGGGCAGGAAAUAGACCAGACAUGGAGGUUCCCGCUUUGAGAGAAAUCCUAAAGGGCCCUUCCUCUUUAGGUGGGAGGUGAGCUAGACAGGUACCCAGAUUCUCUCGUGAGGCUCAGUGGCUGGCAGAAGCUGAGAAGUACUCAGUCAACUCAGACAGGACAAGUCUCAAUCUGGGAGCCUCCUGGCCUGGCAGAGCCAGGUGCUCUCUUCCUACUCAGAUGACUUCCAUAGGCCCUCAGCCCCUGAGAGCCUUUGCUGGGAAGCCAGGGAUGGCCCACAUUGCUGCUGCUGGCUGCUUCUCAGCAGCUGGGUGGAACAAUUCCUGCUGGCUCAGCUGCUGUAGCCGAUGAGAGAGACAGAGGAGGGAAUCAAGCGGGAUACGGCUGCGGUCACAGCGCAGUGAUGGGUAGGUGCACGCCAGCUGAGAGCAGAGUGGUCGGUGCUGGGAGCCCACAACUCCUGGCAGGGCCGGGGCCAGCUUGGAAAAUAAACACCCAGGGAUGGUACUUUAGGGUGGGGCGUCUGUUUGGAGAUAAAGGCACCUCCGCCCCUUGCCCAGGACAAAGGAGCCAUCUGGCCAGGCAGGGGCGGGUGCAGGCUCAGCCCCUCGGUGUCCCAGGCAGCUAGGGGGUGGGGUGCUGUCUGCACAGGCAGGCUGAGCUUAGGACCGAGGCCCCUCUCUGCAGCCUGGUACAGGCAGUGUCCACAUAGCCCAGGACUUCUCCACCUCAGCACUAAUGACACAUAGGGGCAGAUGAUUCUCGGGAGCGGGGCGUGAGGCUGUCCUGUACAUUGUAGGAUGUUGAGCAGCAUCCCCGGCCUCUACCUAUUAGAUGGCGAUAGCAUCCCCCGUCUCAAAUUAUGUAAGGCAAAAAGAUUUUCAAAUGUCCCCUGGGGACAAAAUCAACCCGAGUUAAGAGCCACUGACUGAGACCGGCAGCUCUCUCUCCUCACCCACCAGUUCCCAUGUUCCAUGCUUUUCCUGGGUAAUGAACCCCCGUCAGGGCCCAGGAGCUGACUGCAGCAGCUGCUUCAUGUACAUCUCACUGCAUCCUCCCACCAACGCUGUGAUGUGGAGGUGAAGAAGAUCUCCAUUUUACAGGAGAAGAAACGAAGACCUGGAAAGCACUGAUGACUUCAGGUUGCAGCCAGCCAUCAGGGAGCCAGCAAUAGAUGCAAGGAUUGGAGGACUCUGAGGCUAAUAUGGAGUAGAAUGCUCAGUAAAUGCCAGCUGCAGUGGGGUGGCCAUCCCAGGGGAUGAUGCCCCAGUGCCCAGGUCCUCUGUGCAAGUUCAUCCCAAGCUGUGCCAUCCCUUCCAAAUCCUUCACAAGCCAGAUGCAGGAGCGAAUCUUGUCACUGAGUUGCAGUCAUGGCCUAAGGGUGUUUCAGGAUAAACAGAAGAAGCAGAGGACAGCUGAUCUGGAUGUGUUGCCUCCCCCACUAACAUUAUUGUUACCCUCUUGGAAUUAGAGACCAUGCCAGCCUGUAUCUCCUCCUUCCUCUCUGUCCUGUGCAGAGCUGAGUGUGUCCUCAAUGUUUACAUAAAAUGCCAUAAAUCAUGGAAUCUUUAAGCACAAGAGACCUCAGAGGCCAACUCCAAGCCACAAACAAGGAACCCUGAAUCGAAAGGGAAUCUAAAGCUUCAGGCAAAGAGAGAGGAGAUUGGAUGGUGUGUCAAGCACAGUGCUACCCCCUUUAUAGGCAUGGCAUUGAGGUAGGACAUGGGACUUGACUCUGGAGGCAGGGCUCAGGUACGGGACCAAACUGAAGACUAGCUAAAAUAGGGACAGGGUGAAAACACCUUUCCAUAGGAAAUGCCUGUCAGUGUGCCAUGUCAGUUUAUCAUUGCCAUGGCAACACCUGGAAGUUACUGCCCCUUUCCAUGGCAACAACCCGAUGACUGGAAAGUUUCCAACCCUUUUCUAGAAAUUUCUGCAUAAUGCACCCUUUAAUUUGCAUAUAAUUAAAAGUGGGUAUAAAUAUGACUGCAGGACUGCCUCUGAGCUGCUACUCUGGGCACAUUGCCUAUGGGGUAGCCCUGCUCUGCAAGAAGAAGUACCUCUGCUGCUGUGGUACACUGCCACUUCAAGAAAAGUUGCUAACACCACUGGCUAGCCCUUGAAGCCCUUGAAUUAUUUCCUAGGCAAAGCCAAGAACUCUCGCAAGCUAAACCCCAAUUUGGGGGGCUCACCUGCCCUGCAUCAGCGUAAUUUAAUACUCACAGCUACCCUCCAAAGCCAGCAUCAUGAUACCCACCUGAGAGGUCAGAAAACCGAGACACGGAGUGAUGGCGGCUGACUCAGUUCCCCUAGCUGGGACUCACAGCUGGAUGCAAGCUGCCUAACCUGAGGCUUCAGGCUCUAUCCACAGUCUGCAGGCAUACUGACUGGCCUCUGUUUAUGCAUCUGUGAAAUGGGGAUGAUGAGGGCAAGUAUUCAUACUAUGCCCCACCCAGCAGGCUUCAGGCAAUGAGGAACUAUAAGCAUGGAUGUGAAUGUGUUCUGGACAUGGAAUGGAUGAUACAAAGAGAAUGGAUACUCAGGUGCCCAGAGAGCCCUGGCUUUGUUCCUGGAAGUGGUCAGAUAAAAAAACCAAAAAAAAAAAAACAGUUUGGAUGUGGAGUCAGGAAGAACUAGGUUCAAAUAUUACCUUUUCCACUUAAUCAGUGCCUGACCUUUGGCAGGUAACUCUACCAACCCUUCCACCCGCCUUUUGUAAAUAUUCACAGAGUGAGGGUCAUGUGCAAGAUACAGAAGUCAGUCUGGAUUCAAAUAGGCUCUGCUGGGGUGACAUGUAGGAAUCUGCACAAGUGAUUUGUCAUCGUCACCAUCAUCAUCACUGAGGCACAGCACACAUAUAAUACAAUGCAUAAAUCUAAAAGCAAAACCUGAAGAAUUUCUGCAUGUGCAUAGUGUUGUAGACUAAAUUGUGUCCUCCCACCCCCUGAAAAGUUAUCUAUUGAAGUCCUGACCUUCAUAACUUGGGAAAAUGGCUGUAUUUGAAGACAAGAUCUUUAAAGAAGUAAAGUAAAAUGAGGCCAUUAGGGUGGGCCCUAAUCCAUUUUACUGAUGUCAUGCACGGAUGCAUGUGUACAGAGGAAAGGCCAUGUGAGGACACGGCGAGAAGACGGCCACCUGCAAGCCAAGGAGAGAGAUCUCAAGAGAGACCAAACCUGCUGGCCCCUGAUCUUACACUUCCAGCUUCCAGAAUUGUAAGAAAGUAAACUUCGGUUGUCCAACCUACCCAGUCUGUGGUAUUUUGUUAUGGUAGCCUGGUCAGACUAAUACACAUAACCUUGUGUAACCAGCACUACGAUUAGGAGCAGAAUAUUUCCAAUAACCCAGCAGCCCCUGCCAUCAUGACCUUCUCAAUCUUGCCCUCUACCCCCAGAAGUAAUCAUUGCUCUGAUCCCUGUUAUCAUCAACUAGUUCUGUCCAUUUCUGAACUUCAUAUAGGUGGAACCAUACAAUAUGUUUCCUUUGUGCCUGGCUUCUUUGACUCAGCAUUCCAUUUCUGAAAUGCAUCUUUCCUAUUGGGUGCAGCCGUCAUUCAUUCUUUUUCUUUGCUGUAUAAUAUUCCACCGUGUGACUUCAUCACAGUUUGUUUAUCCAUUUCCCCAUUGAUACACAUUUUGGUUGUUUCUAUUUUUUAGCUCUUUUGAAUAAAGCUCUUAUGGGCAUUCUUGUGCAAGUCUUCAAUAGCCCUGCACACUCGUUUUUCGAGGGGUAUAUACUCAGGAAUAAAAUUGCUGAGUCACAGCUUAAAUGUAUAUUUAGCUUUAAUUAAUGUUAGAGUUUGUGCUUUAACCUUUCCGCAC
rnacentral:lncRNA from 1 species